rnacentral:tRNA from 1 species
UCAAAUAUAAAGAAUUUAUUUAUUCUUUUAUUAUAA